CCCGCGUGAACAUAGUGCAUUUCCCUCCAAAACUGUAGAUGCCUAUAAUAAUAGCUGACAGAUCGUCACUCUGGUCCCUGCUGCUCUUCUCUGAGGACACAAACACGGUGAACAGUGGGACUUGACUUCAGCUUCAGGUGAAACAGCUCUGACCUGUAUGGUGAUCAGACCCGGAGAGGAGACACACCUGGUCCAACCAGGUGAUGGACAAGUAAAAGGACGAAUCACCGAGACGAACAAGUCGAGCCAAACGAUGGAGACGAGCCUCCACAGGAGCCUGAAGGGAAAGUGUGAUCUUUCACCUGGACUUGACGAGGGGAUCAAACAUGGCUGAUAUACCUGCUGAGUGCUGAUGGUCACUGUUGGUUUCUCCAGGACGAGAGCAGCCAGGAGCUGGAAGUGUGACAGAGGAACAGGCUGCUGAGGACCAGCUGGACGACGGCUUCCUGAACUGAAUCCUGAUCCUGAUUUCCUAUUAAUGUUCCCAUCUUUGUUUUUAAUAAGGAAUAAAGUGUGUUCACCUACCUUCUCCAGGUUCCUGAGACUGCAGGCUCUGAGUUCACUUUUUAUAAGGACCAUCAGGAUUUGGGAGGGACCUUCAGGUAAAGGUGUGUCCAUCUUUGACCUUCAUGACAUUUUUGCAUGAUUCUUUCACUUUCGUUUACAGUCAGAUGGAUGUAUAUGUUUGCACAUCAUGUACAGUGACAGAUGAGUUGAGGGGGAACAGGUUCGGUGACUGGCAGCGCCCUUCAGAUCCGCAUUCACCGCAUAUUUUCUUUUGUAUUCAUUUGGCUCACGCACCAGUUUUCAUUCCAGUGACAACAAAUGUUUUAGAAUUAAAACCGCAGCAUUUCCCAUAAAUGUGUCUCAUUAAAACUUUCACUUUCAACACUGAUGUUGUAAAGACUUGGAAAAAAAUAUUUAUUUAUGGGCUUGUUUUUUUAAUCAUACUUUAUCAUUUAUAUAUUUAUCAUGUAUUUCUUUUAUUUCAUUAACAUUUCUUAAGACAUUUGCAAUUGUCAUUUUUGAUAAUCUCAGUGAAUGGUUAUUUCUAAUGCUUCCAAUGUAUUAUGGUUUAUUCUCAAUAUUGUUUUAUUCCAACCCAUAUUUUAUUGCCGUCUUAUUGUGCAUCAGUAAAUGUAGUAAAAAGUAGAAUAUCUGCCUCUGAGCCUUUGUGGAGUUGAAGUAGAAAUUGUCAAAACUCUAAAAACUUGUACUCAAGAGUAAUUGAGUACAAGAGCCAUGAAGUUACUGAAGGAUAAAAGUAUCAUCCUCACAGAUUAAGUACUGAAAUCGAGUUUGAGAGCAGAAGUAAAAAUAAAAACAUCUUCAUAUUUCGAAAUGUGAAA